rnacentral:rRNA from 1 species
AUGAGCACCAGCUCAGAUGAGAGAAUGUUUGAGAUGGAUGCCGAGCCAGCAUCACCAACGGAGUCGGCCCCUACGCAGCAUCAAACUACUUGCCACAUCAUUGAGGGCGUCCUUGGGGGCUGCACGCCAUUGGAGAUGGAGAUAUAUGAGAGGGCCAUGGAGCAUGUGAGGGAGAUGGGGGAGGGGAGGAAGAGGAGCAGCUUGAAGAAGGGGCUCAUGGUGAGGCUGAGGAAGGAUGGCUACGAUGCUUCUCUCUGCAGGUCUUCCUGGGUCGCCACCACCCAGCAUCCCGGAGGUGACCACGAGUACAUCGACGUCCGCGUGGCGGGGGACGGCGGGGCCGGGCGGACCAGGCUAAUCGUGGACAUAGAUUUCAGGUCCCAGUUCCAGCUGGCUAGACCGGCCCCAUGGUACGCCCACCUCUCGGCCCAGCUGCCCGCCGUGUUCGUGGGCCCGCCGGACAGGCUGCGGAAGGCCGUGGCGCUGCUCUGCCUCGCCUCGCGCCGCUCGCUCCGGGAGAGCGGUCUAGACGUCCCGCCGUGGAGGCGGUCCAGCUACAUGCAGGCCAAGUGGUUCCCCUCCCCCGCGCCGCUGCCGGACGGGGACGCCGCGGUGGCCCAGCAGUCGCAGUGGUCGGUGGCCAAGCCGGGAGCGGCCGGGUCCCGGAGGUCGGGCCUCUCGAUGGAGAUGGACGGCCAGGAUGCCUCCUCGUGGGCGCAGUGA